GAAGGUCUUCGGGUUGUAAAGCUCUUUUGUCAGGGAAGAAACGGUGAGAGCUAAUAUCUCUUGCUAAUGACGGUACCUGAAGAAUAAGCACCGGCUAACUACGUGCCAGCAGCCGCGGUAAUACGUAGGGUGCAAGCGUUAAUCGGAAUUACUGGGCGUAAAGCGUGCGCAGGCGGUUUUGUAAGUCUGAUGUGAAAUCCCCGGGCUCAACCUGGGAAUUGCAUUGGAGACUGCAAGGCUAGAAUCUGGCAGAGGGGGGUAGAAUUCCACGUGUAGCAGUGAAAUGCGUAGAUAUGUGGAGGAACACCGAUGGCGAAGGCAGCCCCCUGGGUCAAGAUUGACGCUCAUGCACGAAAGCGUGGGGAGCAAACAGGAUUAGAUACCCUGGUAGUCCACGCCCUAAACGAUGUCUACUAGUUGUCGGGUCUUAAUUACUUGGUAACGCAGCUAACGCGU
rnacentral:rRNA from 1 species